GCAGAGAUGGCGGAGUGGUCGAACGCGCACGACUCGAAAUCGUGUGUGCUCCCAUAAGAGCACCGAGGGUUCGAAUCCCUCUCUCUGCGCCA
rnacentral:tRNA from 1 species